CACAUGCAAGUCGAGGGGCAGCAUCAUUAAAGCUUGCUUUGAUGGAUGGCGACCGGCGCACGGGUGAGUAACACGUAUCCAACCUGCCGACAACACUGGGAUAGCCUUUCGAAAGAAAGAUUAAUACCGGAUGGCAUAGUCUUCCCGCAUGGGAUGACUAUUAAAGAAUUUCGGUUGUCGAUGGGGAUGCGUUCCAUUAGGCAGUUGGCGGGGUAACGGCCCACCAAACCAACGAUGGAUAGGGGUUCUGAGAGGAAGGUCCCCCACAUUGGAACUGAGACACGGUCCAAACUCCUACGGGAGGCAGCAGUGAGGAAUAUUGGUCAAUGGACGAGAGUCUGAACCAGCCAAGUAGCGUGAAGGAUGACUGCCCUAUGGGUUGUAAACUUCUUUUAUACGGGAAUAAAGUGAGCCACGUGUGGCUUUUUGUAUGUACCGUAUGAAUAAGGAUCGGCUAACUCCGUGCCAGCAGCCGCGGUAAUACGGAGGAUCCGAGCGUUAUCCGGAUUUAUUGGGUUUAAAGGGAGCGUAGGCGGGUUGUUAAGUCAGUUGUGAAAGUUUGCGGCUCAACCGUAAAAUUGCAGUUGAUACUGGCGACCUUGAGUGCAACAGAGGUAGGCGGAAUUCGUGGUGUAGCGGUGAAAUGCUUAGAUAUCACGAAGAACUCCGAUUGCGAAGGCAGCUUACUGGAUUGUAACUGACGCUGAUGCUCGAAAGUGUGGGUAUCAAACAGGAUUAGAUACCCUGGUAGUCCACACAGUAAACGAUGAAUACUCGCUGUUGGCGAUAUACGGUCAGCGGCCAAGCGAAAGCAUUAAGUGUUCCACCUGGGGAGUACGCCGGCAACGGUGAAACUCAAAGGAAUUGACGGG
rnacentral:rRNA from 1 species